rnacentral:misc_RNA from 1 species
GAUGAAGAACGUAGCGAAAUGCGAUACGUAAUGUGAAUUGCAGAAUUCAGUGAGUCAUCGAGUCUUUGAACGCACAUUGCGCCCCCUGGUAUUCCGGGGGGCAUGCCUGUCCGAGCGUCAUUGCUGCCCUCAAGCACGGCUUGUGUGUUGGGCCUCCGUCCUCCUCCCGGGGGACGGGCCCGAAAGGCAGCGGCGGCACCGCGUCCGGUCCUCGAGCGUAUGGGGCUUCGUCACCCGCUCUUGUAGGCCCGGCCGGCGCUUGCCGACACAUCAAUCUUUUUUCCAGGUUGACCUCGGAUCAGGUAGGGAUACCCGCUGAACUUAAGCAUAUCAAUAAGCAGAGGA